UCCACAAAGGUGGUGUUAUGUGGUCAGCCCUGAAGGGUUUGUGGAAAGAGGCAAAAGCGUGACUCAAGACAAGGUGGACACUUCAAGCUCCAGAUCAAACUAUCCUCAAUUACUGGAGAUGCUUUAAGCCUUGAGCUGACUUCCAGCAGGUCCUUGUGAGGGAGGCACUUACUGAGGGCAGAGGAGCUGAGAGGCCCAGGCUCAAACUGCAUCCAGCCACUUGUCCUCCCCAACCUCCCAUCUCCUCAUGGGUAAUCUUCCUUUGGCU
rnacentral:lncRNA from 1 species